rnacentral:lncRNA from 1 species
ACACCUGACCAAUGCAAGUCUUCAAGUUGUCUUUCUGCCUGGUCCUGUCCUAGUGAUGUGCAUGAGUGCACCCGUCUUCUUACAGAAAGAUGUGGACUGAUGUGUAUCUCCUAAGUGUCAGUGUAAGAGAAUGUAACUCAGUCAAUAUGUAGUAAAGACUGAAUGUUUUCCCCCUAACAGAUAAGUCUAGGGGCAGGGACUUUAGCUGAACAUGGACUAAACCCCAGGAUGCUGUAAGCAGAGUUCAUGUAGGCUAAACCCUUUUAUUGAUGGUCAGGCCUCUUUUUUCCUGGGGGAAUUACAGAGACAUUUAUUUCUGGCUGAGAUUCUUAAUCCAGGCCAUUUUGACCAAAGUCUGUGUCUUGGUAGUAGCAUGUUUUUCAAGCAUUUCCUUUUUAAGAUGUUUAGGAAUAAGGUUGUGCUGUCUUUCUCCACUAGAAGAGGUUAGUGUUUUGUUGUUUUUGUGUAGUAAGCACUGUUAGGUUGCUGGCGAGGGCAGUAGCUUAAACCUUUUCUUGUCUGCUCUGAAAGCCCAUAAAAUGAAUGCUCUUUUGUUUCUGGGCAGAGUUUGCUUUAGGUAGUUUUGCUUGUAGGACACAGGAUAGUAUAUGCACAGGGUUUCCUGUUUCCUGCUGUGGAAAACAUAAGUACAGAAGCAGAUUCAACAUACAAGCACGCACGAAGGCAGUGUGUUUACCCAGGGUGGAAACACUGCAGUUUUUAUUCUCAUUGCAAUUGCAGUGGGGCUUGGGGAGGGCAGGGGUAGAGGUCAGAAGAAAAGAGUUAUAAAGCCAAAAACUGCUACUGUAUACAAUAUAAGUAACUGUGAGUUUCUUUAAAGGCUUAAAACUAGUCUUAAAAAACAAAAACAAAAAAACAAAAAAACAAAAAA